UAAACUAGGAUUAGAUACCCUAUUAUUAUAAAUGUAAAUUAAAAAAAAUCUAAUUACUAAUAGUUAUUAUCUUUAAAAUUAAAAAUUUUGGCGGUAUUUUAGUCUUUUCAGAGGAACCUGUUCUAUAAUUGAUAGUCCACGAUUAAUUCUACUUAUUUUAAUAAUUUAUAUAUCAUCGUAGGUUGAAUAUUUUAUAAGAAUAAUAAUAUUCAAAAUUUAUAAUAAUAAAAAAAAUCAGAUCAAGGUAUAGUUUAUAAAUAUGAAGAAAUGGGUUACAAUAAAAUUAUUUAUAUGGAUUAAAUAAUUAAAUUUAUUUAUAAAAGUGGAUUUGAAAGUAAUUUUAUUAAUUUAAAUAAAAUGAUUAAAGCUCUAAAAUAUGCACACAUCGCCCGUCGCUCUUA
rnacentral:rRNA from 1 species